CAUCCUCCAAGGUCUGUCAUUACAUAAGGCCCGUGUAGAGACGUGGUUAUGAUCACGGCUUCAGGCUUGGCUUUGGGCUCUGCCAUUUUCUCAGUGAACAGUGACUUAGCUUCUCAAACCCUCUGUUUCGCCUUCUGUAAAAUGAGGGUGAGAAAAGCUGCCUGGGUGGUUGUGAUGCUCUAAGUUGUUCACUCGUCACAUGGACAUGUAUCAAGACAUCCUGUAUGCCCGGCACUAUCCUAGGCCCUGGGGCAGAGCAAGUGGACAAAACAGACUCUGGUGCCUGCCCUCACAGAGCGUGCAUUCAUCAGGGAGAUGAGCCGCUGAUACACCAGCAUAGGCACGCACGCACACACGUGCACACAUGCGUGCACACAUCUGAUACAAUGAUAAGGGGUGGCUGCUGCUGCAAAGAGGAAAAUGAAGGACUCUAGAGGAAGAGGAGCCAUUUCCAGUACCUCUGGGGAGGUGACAUGGGAUCAGAGCCCUGAGAGAAUGUUGGAGAGCCCUGGAAGCCCUGGGGCGGGACCCCCUGGGGCAUUGGAGGCCUUCGUGGCUGGAGCAGAGAGGCCUGGGAGGGUAGAGGGCAGAGCAUGUGGGCAAGGAUUUGGGUGUUAUUUCCAUUUCAGAGGGAGGUCACUGCGGGGGAGCUCUGAGCAGGAGUGAGGUGGCCUGGUUUGCACAUUAGGAAGCUCGGUCUGGCUGCUGAGUGCUGGCUUAGGGACAGUCAACACCUAGAGCAAUCAGCAGGGCGCCCGCCACAUGGAAGGGUCCAGUCAGCGCUGGCUCCCGUUGUUCUGUUAUUUCCAGAUGUGAUCUGUCUAUGGCAGCCAGCCCUCGGAGUCAUUCCAGGUGGCAGGCAGCCCCUUCCCCAGUGACGAGGGCCUGGUAGAAAGACAGGUCUGCUGAGCUCCUUCCCCAGGAGCUCUGAGUGGGCGCUUCUCCCUUCCCCACUCUGCUGUCACCAAGAGAGCAAAUGGUUCCUCACCCACCUGGGCCGGGGAUGGAUCUGCACAGAGGACAGAGGGGUGUUUUGUAUAGUGUAGUCAGAGAAGGCCUUUCCCAUAAGUGUAGAAAUGAUUUUCUAAGCAGCCAUAAAAAAAGAACAAAGUCAUGUCCUUGGUACCAGCAUGGAUGCAGCUGGAGGCCAUUGUCCUCAGGGAAUUAAUACAGAAACAGAGCGCCAAACACUGAGCAUUCUCAUUUAUAAGAGGGAGCUACACAUUGGGUACACACGGACACAAAGAUGGGAACAGAAGACACUGGGGAGUUCACAGUGGGGGUAGAAGGGAGACAAGGGUUGAAAAACUGCCUUUCAGGUACUAUGCUCAGUACCUGGGUGACAGGCUCAUUAGAAAUCUGUACCCCAGCAUUAGUCACACAGUAUGGCCAUGUAACCAACCUGCACAUGUGCCCCAAAUCUAAAAAUAGACAUUUUCUAGAUAUUUGGGGCAGAUUAUUAGCUUGGGAUGGCCAAGGGCCGAAGAGGUGGGGCAGAGGACAGUGGUUCCUCUCACCAGGAUCAGCCACUCGGAACUGAGCCAACACUGAAUUAUAUUGUACAUCACUGAGAAACUAACCUUGACGGAAAUAGCUCCAUGUUUCUUGGAGUUACAACACUUGCUGUAUCGAAGACGCUAUCUGUGCCUGCGUGAAUGGAAUUUCAGAGGAGAUGCUUUUUUGGGCUCUGGGUUUCCAGAUGUGUUAAGGAUCUCCAAAGACCUCCUCUCUGUCCUGAUACAUAGGAGAGCCCAUCCCUCACAGCCCAGACCUCACACCCUUUAAUCGUCCCAACACAAAAUUCACUAGUGAUGUCUUCUUUUUUACUUUACGUAUCUGUCUGCUUGCUGUCAACAACCACAUAGAAUCACCAGGGACACCAGUAUAGACCUGUGAAGGGGCCGUACUGAUCAGGUUAAGGAAUAGUAAUGGCUCAUUUCUACCUCACGCGAGGCUGCACAGGCCCGGGUCUGGGAAGCCAGGGCUCUGGUUUUUGUUCUGUUAGAGACAGUCUGGGAGGGCUCUGGGGCGUGGGUUCCUCCCAAGGAAAAGCUGGGGUUUGAGAUGCCCCCACUGGUGAGGCUGAGUUGCAUCUGAGGCCUCGGCUGGCCCCAGAGACCCAGUUUAGACUUUCUGGGCUCCAUCAUUUGGCUCCUGGUCUCUCCUGCCAGAGGACGAACAGAGAGAGAAGUCAGUCUCCCACCAGACGGUGCAGCAGCUGGUUCUGGAGAAGGAGCAAGCCCUGGCCGACCUGAACUCCGUGGAGAAGUCUCUGGCCGACCUCUUCAGGAGAUAUGAGAAGAUGAAGGAGGUCCUAGAAGGCUUCCGCAAGAAUGAAGAGGUGUUGAAGAGAUGUGCGCAGGAGUACCUGUCCCGGGUGAAGAAGGAGGAGCAGAGGUACCAGGCCCUGAAGGUGCACGCGGAGGAGAAACUGGACAGGGCCAAUGCUGAGAUUGCUCAGGUUCGAGGCAAGGCCCAGCAGGAGCAAGCCGCCCACCAGGCCAGCCUGCGGAAGGAGCAGCUGCGAGUGGAUGCCCUGGAAAGGACGCUAGAGCAGAAGAAUAAAGAAAUAGAAGAACUCACCAAGAUUUGUGACGAACUGAUUGCCAAAAUGGGGAAAAGCUAACUCUGAACCGAAUGUUUUGGACUUAACUGUUGCGUGCAAUAUGACCGUCGGCACACUGCUGUUCCUCCAGUUCCAUGGACAGGUUCUGUUUUCACUUUUUCGUAUGCACUACUGUAUUUCCUUUCUAAAUAAAAUUGAUUUGAUUGUAUGCAGUACUAAGGAGACUAUCAGAAUUUCUUGCUAUUGGUUUGCAUUUUCCUAGUAUAAUUCAUAGCAAGUUGACCUCAGAGUUCCUGUAUCAGGGAGAUUGUCUGAUUCUCUAAUCAAAGACACAUUGCUGACCUUGGCCUUGCCCUUUGUACACAAGUUCCCAGGGUGAGCAGCUUUUGGAUUUAAUAUGAACAUGUACAGCGUGCAUAGGGACUCUUGCCUUAAGGAGUGUAAACUUGAUCUGCAUUUGCUGAUUUGUUUUUAAAAAAACAAGAAAUGCAUGUUUCAAAUAAAAUUCUCUAUUGUAAAUAAAUUUUUUUCUUUGGAUCUUGGC
rnacentral:sRNA from 1 species